UAGUGCCAAAAGGCCAAGACGUUCGCACAAAAAGACACGGGGAGAAAAGAGCAUGAAAGAGCAAGAAAGAGCACCUCCAUGGUGCCCUUCCAAGGAGUAAAAGGCCCGGUUCCAGCCGACUCACCCUCGUAUGUGAUCCUCCCACCAGCUCUGCAGCCCGACGCCUAUCAAUAAUGGAGAGGAAGUCCCGCCCCGGAAGAGAGGCUCUCCGGAGGGGCGGCCGGAAAGCAGGACACCGCUGCCGGAAACCACUCCGGACUCUUGUGAUUACAUUGGGCCCACCUGGAAAAUCCAAGAUAAUCUUCCUAUUUUCAGAGAGCUCAUAGAUGAAAGCCUGAUACGAGAAGCAGCUUACUUCUCUUGGAAGACAGUCUCCAGGUCCAUCCAUGUUGCUGCAAAUAGCAUUAUUUUAUUCUUUUUUUAUGGCUGAGUAGUAUCCCA